GGCUUCAGGGACCAAUCUCAGGUAUCAGGCUUGGCCCCAGGAGGCUUAUUGUACAUGAGCGUCCUUUAAGAUCAGUAAAGCUCUGCUGUGUAAAUGGCCACAUUGAUCUGUGGGUACACUUCAAGGCUGGUUCCAUGUCUUGGCUGUUAUGAAUAUUAUAAGAAAAACCCCAGAUGGACAGAAUAUGCCAUCAGUCAUGUUUGUCUCAGCACACAGC